UCUAGAGAAGCGGUUAAACGGGUUUGGACUCCAGGGCUGAGGACACCCUCAGGGCUUUCUUCAAAUAAUGACUUUUCUGCUCUAUGGUUCCCAGUGGCGGCGGCUUCUCCCACUCUUGGGAUCCUCGGAAUUCGGGGAUCCCACUUUACCCCAGCACCCUCCCCUGGCCCUCCUCUCCCCCUCCACUCGCCCCUGGGCUAGCCUAUUUUUCCAGGUCCUUCUCCACUCUCAGACAGGUUCUCCAAGUCCAGGCCUGCAGGCUGCUGAGGCCGGCCCUCUUCCCCAGGCCUGGCAAUCGGAUGUGAAUGGAAAGGGUCAGCCUCCCGGGACUGGACCACACACACCUUUGGGGUGCAUUUUGGUCUUGUUGGGUGUGCAGAGAAAAGGGGCCUAGGGAAUGAACGGCCUCAGCCUAGGUGCACCAGUUGAAGGAAGCCACCUUGACCUCCCUGGAGCCUGGGAGACCCUCCAGAAGUGUUGCCUUCAGGUCGCCAAAAUACUAUGUGCAGGAGAUUUGUAAGACAUGACCCAUUGAACCUGACUUGGAAGUGGGGUAAUGUGAGUGUUACAAGACUGCCUCGCAUCAUUUUAACCAUCCUCUUUUGUUAGUACUAGAACAAAGUGGUUUAGACUCAGGAAAAAGUCAACCCCCUAUUGACGGUGUACAUUAAGGAAUGCUGUCUUCUCUGCUGGUCCCAAGCCUUGCCUGUGGAGUUUGGAGUGAGUAGGGUCAAAACUGAAGUUUUGCUGGCUUGAUUAGAAGAUUUAUCUGGAGAGGUUCCGGAUUCUGUCCAGCGCUAUCGUACCCCGGUUACACAUAGUACCUGCAUAUUUGAAUUAGUAUUCUUAGAAAAGAUGUUUAACUGGGGCUGGAGAGAUGGCUCAGCAGUUGAGAGUACUGGCUACUCUCACAAAGAGGAUCUGGUUUCUCAACACCCAUGUGGCGACGCACAACCAUCUGUAACUUCGGUUCCAGGGGAUCCGACACACUCUUCCAGACUCCAUAGGUACCAGGUACCUCAUACAGAGUAAAAUCCCAGUUUUACAGUUUUGAAGAAUGACAGCAUGGAAGAGAGAGAGACACUGUUAAAAAUGGAAGAAAAGGUGCCUUCAGAGAAGAAAGAGAAAUGGGAGCUGAAAAAGCUGGAGCAGCUUUUCCCAGAACAAAAACAAGUCCAAGGAGCCAAAGAAGAGGAAUAACCCUAAAAAGAAGACAAGGAACUGAAACAGGAAUUAGGUGGGAGACGCCCUCCUGUGCUGCCCCCUGCUGUGUUGCAGCAUUUAUCUGUCAACAGUGCUUUGUAUAUCCCCCUCCCCACAAGUCUUGCUCACCUUUUGUUUGUUUACUUAGCACACAAAGCCAUGGGUUUCAUUAUGGCCUUGCAUGCACAGAUACCAUUCUGCUUUGCUCUCCCCCAUGGCCCUCUCCCAUUCCUCUCCCUGUUUUGUUGGUCCCUCUCCUUUCCCCCAGUGGUCUCCCUUUCUGUUUUUAAGUCUUUCUGUUGCCCUCUCCGCCCCUUCUCUCCUACUCGCAGACCUCUUCCUCCUUUCAGAAGCCCCUUUCUACUUUCAUGUCCUAGAGAUACACACAGUUACAUAUAAAUUUAAAUUCCACAUAUGAGAGUCAGCAUGUAAUAUUUGUUCAAGCCUUAGCCUAUUUUGCUGAACCUAAUCUCCAGUUCCACCCGUUUUUCUGUAUGGCUGAAUAAAAUUGCAUUGUGCACAUAUACCACAUCUUUAGUCCAUCUGCUGAUGGACAUCUAGGCUGCUCCCAUAGCUUAGCUGUGUGAAUACCACACAGUAAACAUGGGUGUCUCCCACAUUCUUUCUUAGAGUUAUUCGUAUUUUUUUUUUUUGCUACUUCUGUGAAUGUUUUCAAAGUUUGUCUGUUUGCUAGUGCAUAUAAUGCAUUUUAAUUUAUUUUACAUAGAAUGUUCAUAACAAAACUUACCACUUCAUAACUAUUAUUUUUCUUUUUGGAAAUAAGUUCUCACUAUGUAGCCCAGAGUGGCCUCAACUUUCAGAUCCUCAAGUAUGGCUGAAUAAAAUUGCAUUGUGCAUAUAUAACACAUCUUUAGAGACACUGUUAAAAAUGAAAGAAAAGGUGCCUUCAGAGAAGAAAGAGAAAUAGGAGCUGGAAAAGCUAGAGCAGCUUUUCCCAGAACAUUUACUCCAAAUACUUGGAUUAAAGGUGUGUGCUACCAUACGUGGCCAUUUUUAUUGUCCCCAAGUGUACAGUUCAGUGGCAUUAAAUACAUUUAUUCUUGUGUAAACACACAAUGACUUUU